UCAAGGUAAAAAGAGCGUACGGUGGAUGCCUUGGCGCCAAGAGUCGAAGAAGGACGUGGUAAGCUGCGAAAAGCUUCGGUAAGCCGCAAGCAGGCGAAGAACCGGAGAUGUCCGAAUGGGGAAACCCGGCUGGAGUAGUAUCCAGUCAUCAAGCACUGAAUAAAUAGGUGUUUGAAGACAACCUGGGGAACUGAAACAUCUAAGUACCCAGAGGAAGAGAAAGAAAACUCGAUUCCCCGAGUAGCGGCGAGCGAAACGGGAAGAGCCUAAACCGGUUGCUUAGGCAACCGGGGUUGCGGGACUUUCAUGAGAAGUAUGGAAGCCUAGCCGAAGAGGUCUGGAAAGACCCAUCACAGAGGGUAACAAUCCUGUAGGCGAAAGGCGGAAAUGCUCGAAAGUAUCCCAAGUACCGCGGGACACGAGAAACCCCGUGGGAAUCCGGGGGGACCACCCCCCAAGGCUAAAUACUCCUUGGCGACCGAUAGUGAACCAGUACCGUGAGGGAAAGGUGAAAAGAACCCCGGGAGGGGAGUGAAAAAGAACCUGAAACCGUAUGCUUACAAACUGUCAGAGCACUAUAAAUGUGUGAUGGCGUACCUUUUGUAGAAUGGACCGGCGAGUUACGAUAACGAGCGAGGUUAAGUUGAGAAGACGGAGCCGAAGCGAAAGCGAGUCUUAAUAGGGCGGAAAGUUCGUUGUUGUAGACCCGAAACUUGGUGAUCUACCCAUGGUCAGGGUGAAGCUCAGGUAAGACUGAGUGGAGGCCCGAACCGACUUACGUUGAAAAGUGAGCGGAUGAAUUGUGGGUAGGGGUGAAAUGCCAAUCGAACCAAGAGAUAGCUGGUUCUCCCCGAAAUAGCUUUAGGGCUAGCCUCAAGAGAUGAUUUAUGGCGGUAGAGCACUGUUCGAGCUAGGGGCCUAACCAGGUUACCGAACUCUCACAAACUGCGAAUGCCAUAAAUUUAUCUUGGGAGUCAGACUGUGGGGGAUAAGCUUCAUAGUCGAAAGGGAAACAGCCCAGAUCGACAGCUAAGGUCCCAAAGUGUGUGCUAAGUGGAAAAGGAUGUAGAGUUGCUAAAACAACCAGGAUGUUGGCUUAGAAGCAGCCACCAUUUAAAGAGUGCGUAAUAGCUCACUGGUCGAGUGACCCUGCGCCGAAAAUGUAACGGGGCUCAAGCACACCACCGAAGCUUCGGAUUCAAGAAGCUUCUUGCUUCUUGAGUGGUAGGGGAGCGUACUGAACACGAAGAAGGUUUACCGGAAGGAGAGCUGGAGAGUUCAGUAGUGAGAAUGCCGGUAUGAGUAAGCGAAAAGGCAGGUGAGAAUCCUGCCCGCCAAAAACCUAAGGGUUCCUGGGGAAGGCUCGUCCGCCCAGGGUAAGUCAGGACCUAAGUCGAGGCGAAAAGCGUAGAUGAUGGACAAUCGGUAAAGAUUCCGAUACCACCUGGAUCCGUUUGAAGGAAGGGGUGACACAGGAGGGUAGGUCAAGCGCACGGUUGGUAGAGUGCGUCCAAGCCUGUAGGGAGAAAGAUAGGAAAAACCGUCUUUCAAAGAUCCUGAGAGGUGAUGGGGAGCGAAAAUAAGUAGCGAACUGACUGAUCCCACACUGUCAAGAAAAGCCUCUAACGAGGAGCCAGGUGCCUGUACCGAAAACCGACACAGGUAGGUGGGGUGAGAAUCCUAAGGCGCGCGAGAGAACCCUUGUUAAGGAACUCGGCAAAAUGACCCCGUAACUUCGGGAGAAGGGGUGCCUUUGUAGUGUGAGGUUUUUAACAGACUGAGCAUGAAGAGGCCGCAGAGAAAAGGCCCAAGCGACUGUUUAGCAAAAACACAGGUGCCUGCAAAGUCGAAAGACGACGUAUAGGUGCUGACGCCUGCCCGGUGCUGGAAGGUUAAGAGGAGAGGUCAACGGAAAGGUGAAGCUUUGAAUUGAAGCCCCAGUAAACGGCGGCCGUAACUAUAACGGUCCUAAGGUAGCGAAAUUCCUUGUCGGGUAAGUUCCGACCCGCACGAAAGGCGUAACGAUUUGGGCACUGUCUCAACAAGGGACUCGGCGAAAUUGUAAUACCGGUGAAGAUACCGGUUACCUGCGACAGGACAGAAAGACCCCGUGGAGCUUUACUGCAGCCUGACAUUGGAUUUUGGUAUAUCACGUACAGGAUAGGUGGGAGACUAAGAAUCUGGAACGCCAGUUUCAGAGGAGUCGACGGUGGGAUACCACUCUUGAUGUGCUGAAAUUCUAACUUCAAGCCGUAAGCCGGCUGAAGGACAUUGUCAGGUGGGCAGUUUGACUGGGGCGGUCGCCUCCCAAAGAGUAACGGAGGCGCCCAAAGGUUCCCUCAGCGCGGAUGGAAAUCGCGCGAAGAGUGUAAAGGCAGAAGGGAGCUUGACUGCGAGAGAGACAUCUCGAGCAGGGACGAAAGUCGGGCUUAGUGAUCCGGCGGUACCGAGUGGAAGGGCCGUCGCUCAACGGAUAAAAGCUACCCCGGGGAUAACAGGCUUAUCUCCCCCAAGAGUCCACAUCGACGGGGAGGUUUGGCACCUCGAUGUCGGCUCAUCGCAUCCUGGGGCUGUAGUAGGUCCCAAGGGUUGGGCUGUUCGCCCAUUAAAGCGGUACGUGAGCUGGGUUCAGAACGUCGUGAGACAGUUCGGUCCCUAUCCGUCGCAGGCGGAGGAAAUUUGAGAGGCACUGUCCCUAGUACGAGAGGACCGGGAUGGACAGACCACUGGUGUACCAGUUAUCCUGCCAAGGGUACAGCUGGGUAGCUAAGUCUGGCAGGGAUAAGCGCUGAAAGCAUCUAAGCGCGAAGCCCCCCUUAAGAUAAGAUUUCCCACAGCGAAAGCUGAUAAGACCCCAGAAAGACGAACUGGUAGAUAGGCCGGGUGUGGAAGGGCAGUAAUGUCCGGAGCUGACCGGUACUAAUAGGUCGAGGACUUGACCUU
rnacentral:rRNA from 1 species